rnacentral:rRNA from 1 species
AUUGAACGCUGGCGGCAUGCCUUACACAUGCAAGUCGAACGGCAGCGGGGGAGAAGCUUGCUUUUCCUGCCGGCGAGUGGCGAACGGGUGAGUAAUACAUCGGAACGUGCCCUGUAGUGGGGGAUAACUAGUCGAAAGAUUAGCUAAUACCGCAUACGACCUGAGGGUGAAAGUGGGGGACCGCAAGGCCUCAUGCUAUAGGAGCGGCCGAUGUCUGAUUAGCUAGUUGGUGGGGUAAAGGCCUACCAAGGCGACGAUCAGUAGCUGGUCUGAGAGGACGAUCAGCCACACUGGGACUGAGACACGGCCCAGACUCCUACGGGAGGCAGCAGUGGGGAAUUUUGGACAAUGGGCGAAAGCCUGAUCCAGCAAUGCCGCGUGUGUGUAGAAGGCCUUCGGGUUGUAAAGCACUUUUGUCCGGAGAGAAAUGGCUCUGGUUAAUACCUGGGGUCGAUGACGGUACCGGAAGAAUAAGGACCGGCUAACUACGUGCCAGCCGCCGCGGUAA